UACGUAGUGUGCAAGCGUUAAUCGGAAUUACUGGGCGUAAAGCGUGCGCAGGCGGUUUUGUAAGUCUGAUGUGAAAUCCCCGGGCUCAACCUGGGAAUUGCAUUGGAGACUGCAAGGCUAGAAUCUGGCAGAGGGGGGUAGAAUUCCACGUGUAGCAGUGAAAUGCGUAGAGAUGUGGAGGAACACCGAUGGCGAAGGCAGCCCCCUGGGUCAAGAUUGACGCUCAUGCACGAAAGCGUGGGGAGCAAACAGG
rnacentral:rRNA from 1 species